rnacentral:rRNA from 1 species
AGGGAAUCUUCCACAAUGGACGAAAGUCUGAUGGAGCAACGCCGCGUGAGUGAUGAAGGUUUUCGGAUCGUAAAACUCUGUUGUAAGGGAAGAACCAGUAUGUCAGGCAAUGGACGUACCUUGACGUUACUGACAGAAGAAGCACCGGCUAACUCCGUGCCAGCAGCCGCGGUAAUACGGAGGGUGCGAGCGUUAAUCGGAAUUACUGGGCGUAAAGCGUGCGCAGGCGGUUUGUUAAGCGAGAUGUGAAAGCCCCGGGCUCAACCUGGGAUGGUCAUUUCGAACUGGCAAGCUAGAGUCUCGUAGAGGGGGGUAGAAUUCCAGGUGUAGCGGUGAAAUGCGUAGAGAUCUGGAGGAAUACCGGUGGCGAAGGCGGCCCCCUGGACGAAGACUGACGCUCAGGCACGAAAGCGUGGGGAGCAAACA